AUUGAACGCUGGCGGAAUGCUUUACACAUGCAAGUCGAACGGCAGCACGGGGGUAGCCCUGGUGGCGAGUGGCGAACGGGUGAGUAAUACAUCGGAACGUGCCCGGUCGUGGGGGAUAACGUAGCGAAAGUUACGCUAAUACCGCAUACGAUCUGAGGAUGAAAGCGGGGGACCUUCGGGCCUCGCGCGAUCGGAGCGGCCGAUGUCAGAUUAGGUAGUUGGUGGGGUAAAGGCCUACCAAGCCGACGAUCUGUAGCUGGUCUGAGAGGACGACCAGCCACACUGGGACUGAGACACGGCCCAGACUCCUACGGGAGGCAGCAGUGGGGAAUUUUGGACAAUGGGCGCAAGCCUGAUCCAGCCAUUCCGCGUGCAGGACGAAGGCCUUCGGGUUGUAAACUGCUUUUGUACGGAACGAAAAGGCUCUGGCUAAUACCUGGGGCUCAUGACGGUACCGUAAGAAUAAGCACCGGCUAACUACGUG
rnacentral:rRNA from 1 species